GAUGAACGCUGGCGGCGUGCUUAACACAUGCAAGUCGAGCGAAGCGCUAAAGCGGAUUUCUUCGGAUUGAAGUUUUAGUGACUGAGCGGCGGACGGGUGAGUAACGCGUGGGUAACCUGCCUCAUACAGGGGGAUAACAGUUGGAAACGGCUGCUAAUWCCGCAUAAGCGCACAGUACCGCAUGGUACGGUGUGAAAAACUCCGGUGGUAUGAGAUGGACCCGCGUCUGAUUAGGUAGUUGGUGGGGUAACGGCCUACCAAGCCGACGAUCAGUAGCCGACCUGAGAGGGUGACCGGCCACAUUGGGACUGAGACACGGCCCAAACUCCUACGGGAGGCAGCAGUGGGGAAUAUUGCACAAUGGGGGAAACCCUGAUGCAGCGACGCCGCGUGAGCGAAGAAGUAUUUCG
rnacentral:rRNA from 1 species